AUGCUGGUGGGGGGACCCCCGCGCUCUCCGGGCGACCCUCUGCAGCCUCUACUCUGCCCCGUCUGUCAUCUUCUCCCGACCCGGCGACCCCGUUCUCCCCCUCGCCCCUCAUUCCCCGGGACUGUCCUUCUUAACAGCGCCCUUCACCCCGCCCGGCCCGCGAGGUAGUCCUCAGCAGGGGACAAGGUCCGGACGUGGCGCCCCCAGAAGGAGCGCGGAGAGCCCCUGGGACCCAGUCCCGCCAGGUACGCAUCAGGGGCGGAGCUGGACUCGGGGGGCGGGGCUGGGGAGAGGGUGGCCCCUGCACACUAGUCCCCUCCCCUCGACCCCGCAGCCCCGCGGCGCGUUUCCUGAGGCGCCCCCGCCACGUCCCGCGAGUCUCUGCCAAGUUCCCGCGCGGUUUCGUCGUGUUUUGUACUUAAGUUGAGGAUUCCACACCGUGUGGUACUUUCAGAAGAGAUGUAGUGGUGAAUCAAUCGCAACGGUAAGGGGAGCAGACCUGGACAUCUGAUACUUGAUCAGCAAUUCACCUUGCCUGAAAAUGUUUUGACUUUGUUUCAUGUUCCAAGUGCCGAAAUGAUCGCACGCCUCGUUAGAAGUUGAACGUUACUCUUUUCUUCAAAUGCAGGUUGUGAUGUUUUCCUAAUUAGGUAUUGAGAAUUACCAUUGGUAUUUGGAAUUAGAUUGCGGAGCAUUUAGGAACCGUUCUCGCUAUGUUGCCCAGGCUGGUCUUGAACUCCUCAGCUGAAAUGAGCCUCCCACCUCGGCCUCCCAAAGUGCUGGGAUUACAGGCGUCCCCUCUGCCCCAGUACUGUUUCCUCUCCCCAGCCCAGCCCCCACAGCUGCCUGCCCUGGCCUCACUCCCUGGCCUCCCCCAUCCCAGCCUCUGGGUCCCUGAGUCAGUCCCUGGGGCUGUCUGCCUUCUAGGGGAGCCUCUGGUGUGGACCAGAAAGUAACCUAAUCCCUUCCAGGCCCACCCUGGAAACAAAGGGAUUUGUCCACUAGCCUGGUGGUGAGAACCAUGUGGCCUCCUGUCUCUGGCAGAGAGGACUCCAGGAUCAAGGGCAGGUAAAAGGAGGAGCCUCCUGGGGAGCUUCAGAAGGAGGGUCCCAAGUCCCUCCUGCCCCACUUCUGUGCCUGGGUCACUCACACCCCUGCCUGACUCUAGCCCCCCUUCUCCAGGGGUCUCCACAACAUGUGAAUCAUGCCCAGCGUCUUCCAUUACACCCUUGAUAAAGUCCUCUCCUCACCAGGACCUCUGUCAUUUUACCUCAUGGUUUUGAAAUAAUUUUUGGUCUUCUUAGCAGUUUAAAAAUAUUGUUUUGUUUUUUUUCCUGAGUUUGGAGCAUUCCUGUUACUAAUUACAUUUUUUUUUUAGACAGGUGUACACUACUACACCCAGCUAAUUUGUUUUGUUUUGUUUUGUUUUGGUAGAGAUAGGAUCUUGCUAUGGUACCCAGGCUGGUCUUCAACUCCUGGGCUCAAGCAAUCCUCCUGCAUUGGCCUCCCAAAGUGCUGGAAUUACAGGCAUGAGGCAGCACGCCCAGCCCUAAUUACUUCUAUUACGCCAAAUUCCUUGUGUGGAAUUCCUGUGCUUUGCACACAAAUUGCCAGGUUGGCCCCAAAGGGGAAAAAAGUGGAUCCCAUUUUCCCAUCUUCUAUGCCUACGUGGCUGACAAAUCUCCCGAAUCCCACAGGAGCUGUCGCUGAUCUUUGUCCUCUAUUCGCUGAAAUAAAGUUCACCAUGGA
rnacentral:lncRNA from 1 species